CGGCCCUGAGGGGGGGCAGGGGGAGCGGCCGCCCCGGGCCCCCCAACAUCCAGGGGCCCCCUCCUCAGGUACGUACGUAGUAGGUAGCAGCAGCCAACAAGCUAACUCACGUACGCUUAUCUUUUUUUAGGUGAGACUAACGCACGUAUCCUGUGCUGCUUUUUCGCUCAAGGCCUGCGCUGCUGCAAAAAAAUAUAUAGUUAAUUUGGGCCCAGCCCAAGUAGAAAUAGCUAGCUGGAGUCGUACGUAUUUGCCAAGUAGUAAAACCUGAAUUGCCUAAAAAAAUAGCAAAACCUGAAACGUCAAGCAUCACACGCACAUCUACCCAGCAGGCGCCGCCAUUGACCUCGACCUAGAUCGCAAAAGGUAAACCAGCGCAGCUUGCUUGAGGAAGAAAAGAAGAUACCAAGGGACAUGGCUAUGCGCCAGAGCAGGCGGCGCACCGGCGCUGCACGUCAUCCGUUGGAUGUGAGCACUUCGGCCGCUCGAUGUCUUCCACAACAGGGAUGGUUGCUAAUGGGGAAAAGAACAACCUGUAAGUCAUGGAGGUUGCAGGCCGAGGGAACUCGAAAUGCUCAAGAGCCAUGUCGACGAAUAACCAAGUGGAGGAUGUGCUACAUGAAGGCCAUGCACAUGCUUGAGAAACCAGGCAGCACCAUGAUUGCGGAACUCGUAGAGUUUGGCCGUCGGCAAAUAUCCGAGUGUAUGAGGUGCUGCCAAUGAGAUGCAUCUUGAACAGUGCAUGGAGACUUAUGAUGAUGCCGAUGAGACGGAUCUUGAACAGUGCUUGGAGAGCAUCUAAAAGAAGAAGGAAAACCCAGGAGUAAUCAUUCGGAGCAGAUCUGUGUACCCUUGGGAUGACGAGGCAUUGCCAUCCUUAUGUGGGUAGCGCCCACGUGAUGAGGCGAGUUCACCGUGUCACGGCGAUGAUGUUCGGCACCGGCUACAAACUCUGACGGGUGUUCCAAACUACUGCUGACAACCAGAUGCAAGUGGGUAUGCGUGUGUUGCAAGGUGAAUGUGAGAUGGCAAUGAACAACAAGCUCCUAUGUGAGUUCGACCUCAUGUCCUCAUCGGCAUCCCUCCAGCACCAAGGGCCACGCCACAGAUCGAGGGGGCCGCCUCCGCCUAAGACAAAGCCCACCUCCACAACCGUGCGCCAGUACGCGAGGAAUGGCCACUGCUUCCUCCACCGUGUUCGCAUCGCCCCCACCUUAGUCGGGCAACUUGGUGUAUAGGGAUCGUUGCUAAUGGGGAAAAGAGCGAUGUCAGUGAAUGGCCAAGUAGAAGAAGGGCUACAUGAAGGCCCAUGGAGAUGACUGAGAAACCAGGCAGUACCGCGAUUGCUGAACUCGUAGAGCUUGGCCG